UCUGCGUUAGCGAUUGAAACGGCAUCCUUUUUUGAGGUUAUCGAAGCCAAGUUUUUUUUUGGUUGAAGAUACUGAAGCGAAGCCUUAAAAAAGAUAUAGUGUAAAGCGCGACCUUUA
rnacentral:sRNA from 1 species